AAGCCGAAAGGUGACGACCUUCGGGAGCUUGCACAGGUGCCGCAUGGCUGUCGUCAGCUCGUGUCGUGAGAUGUUCGGUUAAGUCCGCUAACGAGCGCAACCCUCGCUGUGUGUUAUAUGUGUCACACGGGACUGCCGGUCUUAAGCCGGAGGAAGGUGGGGAUGAUGUCAAGUCAGCAUGGCCUUUAUAUCCUGGGCUACACACACGCUACAAUGGCCAACACAAUAGGUUGCUAAGCCGCGAGGUGGCGCCAAUCCAUAAAGUUGGUCUCAGUUCAGAUUGUAGGCUGCAACCCGCCUGCAUGAAGAUGGAGUUGCUAGUAACCGCAGGUCAGCUAUACUGCGGUGAAUACGUUCCCGGGGCUU
rnacentral:rRNA from 1 species